GCCCUCCGCUCCCCUAAGUUAAAGAGGAAGAGCGGGCCAUUGGGUGGCUGGUUGGGUGAAUUGACCUCUGCCGCGGCCGCGAGCCAGCCGCCGCGCUUCCGGCGGCCGGAGCCCCGCGCACGCUCGGAGCCAUGCUGAGGAGCUGCACCGCGGCACUGCGCACGCUCCGGGCCCUACGCGGCAGGCGGGAAGGCGCGUCCCCCGCAGCGAGGGACCCGGUACUCGCGCGGAGGUGGUUUUCUACUGAGAAAGUCAUUCCUAAGGACCAUGCUCUCCCCAACCCCAGCUGGAGCAAGGACUUAAGACUCCUCUUUGACCAGUUCAUGAAGAAAUGUGAAGACGGCUCCUGGGAACGUUUGCCUUCAUAUAAAAACUCAAAGCUUGUGAAAGAACAACUGUCACAGGCCCAGCUCUUCACCAGAGGCUAUGAGGAUGGCCUGGGCUUUGAAUAUGUGAUCUUCUAUAACGAUGAUGAGAAAAGGACAGUUUGCUUGUUUCAAGGAGGUCCUUAUCUGCAAGGAGUACCUGGAUUCCUUCAUGGAGGUGCCAUUGCAACAAUGAUUGAUGCUACUGUUGGUAUGUGUGCAGCUAUACCUGGGGGAAUUGUCAUGACUGCCAAUCUCAACAUCAAUUUUAAAAGACCUAUCCCUCUUUGUUCUGUUGUUGUGAUAAAUAGCCAACUUGAUAAAAUUGAGGGGAGGAAAUUGUUUCUUUCUUGUAAUGUUCGAAGUGUUGAUGAGAAGAUCCUGUACUCAGAGGCAACAGGUCUUAGUUGCAGCAUGCGGGAUCUAGUUCCCUGACCAGGGAUCGAACCCGGCCCCCUGCUUUGGGAGCAUGGAGUCUUAACCACUGGACCACGAGGGAAGUCCCUUUUUGUUGUUUUUAUUUUUUAUUUUAAUGGACCUCAGAUGCACAUGUUUCGGUUACUCAGAAUCCUUGAUUUAGGAUACACAGCUAUUAUUGGCUUAUUUAUAAAGCUGGAUCCUGAAAAAAGUUUGACAUAAAAGAGCUUCUGGUGAAUUCCACACCAAUCUGCGUAAGGCUCUCCCUCCUCCAGAAGAAGCAGUUGUCUUCAGUCCUGUUCUACUCAUCCACUGUUAAAUCCCCCAUCAGGUGAAGCCUGCUAACACGGACCUUCCUAAACAAGUCUUUUGAAUACAAUUGAAGGAGCUCCAUUUCCACCUUCCAAACUUUUUUACACAGAGACACUCCCUGUGAGAGUAUCAGCAGUUCUUUCUGUCUCCUUUGGAUAAGUGUCUGGUUCUCCUAAAAUUUGAAUAGGCUCCUUAAGUUUGCAUAGGUGUGAUGUCUGAUCCAUUGCAUUCUGGAGAAAAAAAUCAUGUUGAAACUUUUACCACAAACUUGGAAAUGCCAGAAAACCAAAGGAAGGAAUAAAUAUGUGAGUGCACGAA